rnacentral:rRNA from 1 species
AGCUCCAAUAGCGUAUAUUAAAGUUGCUGCAGUUAAAAAGCUCGUAGUUGCAUUUCCGAGGCAAGGGAUUAGUCCGACCUUUGGUGGGUAUUUAAUCCUCUUGCCUCGUCCUUGAGUGGUGCUUCUUGGUAUUAAGUUAUCGAGGAGAUAGCCGCUCAUCGUUUACUGUGAGAAAAUUAGAGUGUUCAAAGCAGGCUUAUGCCGUUGAAUAUAUUAGCAUGGAAUAAUAAGAUAGGACCUCGGUACUAUUUUGUUGUUUUGAGAACCAAGGUAAUGAUUAAUAGGGACAGUUGGGGGUAUUCGUAUUCAGUUGUCAGAGGUGAAAUUCUUAGAUUUACGGAAGACGAACUACUGCGAAAGCAUUUACCAAGGAUGUUUUCA